GACGAACGCUGGCGGCGUGCUUAACACAUGCAAGUCGAACGGAAAGGCCCUGCUUUUGUGGGGUGCUCGAGUGGCGAACGGGUGAGUAACACGUUAGUAACCUUCCCUUGACUUUGGGAUAACUUCAGGAAACUUGGGCUAAUACCUGAUAGGAGCUCCUUCUGCAUGGUGGGGGUUGUAAAGUUUCGGCGGUUGGGGAUGGACUCGCGGCUUAUCAGGUUGUUGGUGGGGUAGUGGCUUACCAAGGCUUUGACGGGUCGCCGGCCUGAGAGGGUUACCGGCCACAUUGGGAAUGAGAUACGGGACAGACGUCUAAGGGAGGCAGAAGUGGGGAAUAUUGAACAAUGGGCGGAAGCCGGAUGCAGCAACGCCGCGUGCGGGAUGAGGGACGUCGGGUUGUAAACCGCUUUCGCCGGUGACGAAGCGUGAGUGACGGUAAUGGGUAAAGAAGCACCGGCUAACUACGUG
rnacentral:rRNA from 1 species